CACAAUAUUUUACGUGGUUCGGCAAAACCGCCUACAUCCACGGGAGAGAGUCAUUGUUAUUUAGAGAUUGAGAAAGAAUACAAUAAAUACAUGGAGGAGGAUUUAAUCACUCAACUCCCAUCUCUCUUGCUGCCUUGCAGCUGCUGCAAUGGCUGCUGCCAUUGCAGCUCCUCUUUCUCUCUUCUCUCUUGCACACACUCACG
rnacentral:lncRNA from 1 species